GCCGAGUCCCGAGCCCACCCGAAUGCGCCCGAGCCCGCGGCCCCCGCCCGGGGCGAUGGAGCCAGAGCCCGGCCGGGCGGCCGCUGCGCUCCUGCGGCAGAAGAGGGCGGCGCUGCGGCGCAGGGGGUGCAGCUUCGAGAGCCCCAGUACAGCACUCCAGCCUCCAGGCCCACUGAUGGAUCCGCUGACGAAAGGGUCCUGUGGGAGUCAGAUGGCGCAGACCCUUCUAUGGAAAGCCAAGUCGUCUCUCUCCUUUGGCAUCCAGUCCCUUCAGAUGUGGCCAACAAAAGACCCUGAAGUAGAGUCCCAGGUCAACCUCUCUGUCUCGGAAGACCUAGGCUGUAGACGUGGGGAUUUCAGUAGGAAACAUUAUGGAUCUGUGGAGCUGCUUAUUUCCAGCGAUGCUGAUGGAGCCAUCCAAAGGGCCGGAAGAUUCAGAGUGGAAAAUGGCUCUUCAGAUGAGAAUGCAACUGCUCUGCCAGGUACUUGGCGAAGGACAGACGUGCACUUAGAGAAUCCAGAAUACCACACCAGAUGGUAUUUCAAGUAUUUUUUAGGACAAGUCCAUCAGAACUAUAUCGGAAAUGAUGCAGAGAAGAGCCCCUUCUUCCUGUCGGUGACCCUCUCUGACCAAAACAAUCAGCGUGUCCCUCAGUAUCGUGCAAUCCUUUGGAGGAAAACAGGUACCCAGAAAAUAUGCCUUCCCUACAGCCCCACAAAAACUCUCUCUGUGAAGUCCAUCUUAAGUGCCAUGAAUCUGGACAAAUUUGAGAAAGGCCCCAGGGAAAUUUUUCAUCCUGAGAUACAAAAGGACUUACUGGUUCUUGAAGAACAAGAGGGCUCUGUGAAUUUCAAGUUUGGGGUUCUUUUUGCCAAAGAUGGGCAGCUCACUGAUGAUGACAUGUUCAGCAAUGAAAUCGGAAGUGAUGCUUUUCAAAAAUUUUUGAAUCUCCUGGGUGACACCAUCACUCUCAAGGGCUGGACAGGCUACCGUGGCGGUCUGGACACCAAAAAUGACACCACAGGGAUUCAUUCCGUUUAUACCGUAUACCAAGGGCAUGAGAUCAUGUUUCAUGUUUCUACCAUGUUGCCAUAUUCCAAAGAGAACAAACAGCAGGUGGAAAGGAAGCGCCACAUUGGAAAUGAUAUCGUCACCAUCGUGUUCCAGGAAGGAGAGGAACCUUCUCCUGCCUUUAAGCCUUCCAUGAUCCGCUCCCAUUUCACACAUAUUUUUGCCUUAGUGAGGUAUGAUCAACAAAAUGACAAUUACAGGCUGAAAAUAUUUUCAGAAGAAAGCGUACCGCUCUUUGGCCCACCCCUGCCAUCCCCACCGGUGUUUACAGACCACCAGGAAUUCAGGGACUUUUUGCUAGUGAAAUUAAUUAAUGGUGAAAAAGCCACUUUGGAAACGCCAACAUUCGCCCAGAAACGUCGACGUACUCUGGAUAUGUUGAUUCGAUCCUUGUACCAGGAUUUGAUGCCAGAUUUGCAUAAGAACAUGCUUAAUAGGCGCUCUUUCAGUGACGUCUUACCAGAAUCACCCAAGUCAGCGCGCAAGAAAGAGGAGGCCCGCCAGGCAGAGUUUGUUAGGAUAGGGCAGGCGCUAAAACUGAAAUCCAUUGUGAGAGGCGAUGCUCCGUCAAGUUUGGCAGCUUCAGGGAUCUGUAAAAAAGAGCCUUGGGAGCCCCAGUGUUUCUGCAGUAAUUUCCCUCAUGAAGCCGUGUGUGCAGAUCCCUGGGGCCAGGCCUUGCUGGUUUCCACUGACGCUGGCGUCUUGCUAGUGGAUGAUGACCUUCCAGCAGUGCCUGUGUUUGAUAAAACCCUGCCCGUGAAGCAGAUGCAUGUGCUCGAGGCACUGGACCUUCUGAUUCUCAGAGCAGACAAAGGGAAAGAUGCCCGCCUCUUUGUCUUCAGGCUCAGUGCUGUGCAGAAGGGCAUCGAGGGCAGGCAGGCCGUGAAGGGCAAGUGUGACUGCAGGGAAAACAAGCUCGAGAAGACGAAAGGUUGCCACUUGUAUGCCAUUAACACUCACCACAGCAGAGAGCUGAGGAUUGUUGUUGCAAUUCGGAAUAAACUGCUUCUGAUCACAAGGAAACACAACAAGCCAUGCGGGGUGACCAGCAUCUCACUGUUAUCUCCCCUGUCAGAGUCACCUGUUGAAGAAUUCCAGUAUAUCCGGGAGAUCUGUCUGUCCGACUCUCCGGCAGUGAUGACCUUGGUAGAUGGGCCAACAGAAGAGAGUGACAAUCUCAUCUGCGUGGCUUACCGGCACCAGUUCGAUGUGGUAAACGAGAGCACGGGGGAGGCCUUCAGGCUGCACCAUGUGGAGGCCAACAGGGUUAAUUUCGUUGCAGCUAUUGAUGUGUACGAAGACGGAGAGGCUGGUCUGCUCCUGUGUUACAACUACAGUUGCAUCUAUAAAAAGGUUUGCCCGUUUAAUGGUGGCUCUUUUUUGGUUCAACCCUCUGCGUCAGAUUUCCAGUUCUGUUGGAACCAGGCUCCCUAUGCGAUCGUCUGUGCAUUCCCGUACCUCCUGGCCUUCACCCCUGACUCCAUGGAGAUCCGCCUGGUGGUGAAUGGGAACCUGGUCCACACAGCCGUUGUGCCUCAGCUGCAGCUCGUGGCCUCCAGGUCGGAUAUAUACUUCACAGCAACCACUUCUGUGAAUGAGGUCUCGUCUGGAGGCAGCUCUAAGGGAGCCAGUGCCCACAAUUCUCCUCAGACACCCCCGGGCCGAGAUACUCCAGUGUUUCCUUCUUCCCCGGGGGAAGGUGAAGUUCCGUCCAAAAAUCUGUACAAGAUUCCACUUAGAAACCUUGUGGGCAGAAGCAUCGAGCGACCCCUGAAAUCCCCCUUGGUCUCCAAGGUCAUCACCCCGCCCACUUCCAUCGGCAUAGGCAUUGCUGCCAUUCCUGUCACUCACUCCUUGUCCCUGUCCCGCAUGGAGAUCAAAGAAAUCGCAAGCAGGACCCGCAGGGAGCUGCUGGGCCUCUCUGAUGAUGGUGGGCCCAGGUCAGAAGGAGCCCCAAAGCCCAAAUCAAAAGCCCGGAAGCGGUUGGAAGAAAACCAAGGAGGCCCCAAGCCAGAGACAGUGAGAUCAACUAGCAGCGACAGGUAAAGGGAGAAGCAGCCCCAGCAGCCCCACUCAGGGUGGUGGCCCCUGAAGUCACAGGAUGGCCACCAGGCCCUUUCUGCUGGAUGACAAUACCAUGGGUCAGCAUCCAGCUCCUGAGGGUCCUCAGAGAGCACAGCCUGAGGGCGGGGCCCAGACAAACGGGCAACCUCACUGGCAAUCCAACAAGUACGCAGUAAGAUACUUUGUUUUUGCUCACCAGACUGACAGGGUCUUUUUAAGACAAAAAUGCUCAGUAAGAGUGGCAGGAAAUAGGCACUCUCCAGUACUUCUGGUGGAUAUAAAAAAAGCCUUGCCGAAUGGCACUUCAUUACCAUGUGUCCAUGAAUAUUUGUUGAAUCCCACUGAUUUAUCCCCUAAGGUUCUCUGUGCCCCUCAAGCAACAGCGUCCGUGCUCCUGUGUGGAGCGUAAGGGGGCACAUAUCCAGGCUCCAUUAAUUCACCCAGUGCACAUUCUUGGAGCACCUGGCACUGAGCUAGGGAUGCGGCACUGAACUUCAUGGGGCUCACAGGCUGGGAGGCAAGGCCAACAAGGACAUGGCAGGAAGUACAGCAGUCCAGGGUGGCAGGUGAUGCAGAGGAAUGAGGGUGCCAUCACCUGGGGCAGGGGGAUCUCAAACAUCAGGAAAGGCCGAGCCAAGUCUCACAAAUCAAGUAAGCAUUAGCCUGGCUGAGGAAGAGGCAGCUCUCACUCAUGCUUUAAUCAGAUACCCUUUUGAGCCCCUAUUGUGUGACCAGGCCCCUGCCUUCAUGGACUUUACAUUCCAGUGUGGAGAAACAGACAAUAAAUCUGUAAACAGAUAAACAAAUUCUAUCACUUCCAUUAGUGACGGGUGCUGCAAGGAAAUUCAAAAGAAGGAUUACGUCAAGCUCCUUGGAAAGUCCUUCUACUUCUGAAGCCAAUCCUGAGGGGCUUUACCAGUCAGCAAGCUCCGAGCAGGACCCUGGGGCAGAGCGAGAAGGCAGCCCCGUGUGGGGCAGCAGCCCC